rnacentral:rRNA from 1 species
GUACACUCCUGCGGGAGGCAGCAGUGGGGAAUAUUGCACAAUGGGCGCAAGCCUGAUGCAGCCAUGCCGCGUGUAUGAAGAAGGCCUUCGGGUUGUAAAGUACUUUCAGCGGGGAGGAAGGCGAUAAGGUUAAUAACCUUGUUGAUUGACGUUACCCGCAGAAGAAGCACCGGCUAACUCCGUGCCAGCAGCCGCGGUAAUACGGAGGGUGCAAGCGUUAAUCGGAAUUACUGGGCGUAAAGCGCACGCAGGCGGUCUGUCAAGUCGGAUGUGAAAUCCCCGGGCUCAACCUGGGAACUGCAUUCGAAACUGGCAGGCUAGAGUCUUGUAGAGGGGGGUAGAAUUCCAGGUGUAGCGGUGAAAUGCGUAGAGAUCUGGAGGAAUACCGGUGGCGAAGGCGGCCCCCUGGACAAAGACUGACGCUCAGGUGCGAAAGCGUGGGGAGCAAACAGGAUUAGAAACCCUAGUAGUCCCAUGAU